rnacentral:lncRNA from 1 species
GUUAGAGUUAACCUUGUUGUGUAGGCAUUCAUCAUGGUUAUUUUCAUAGAUUUUGUUGAGUCAUGCACGUAAGUAUGUCCACUACUAGCUGCGACCGUGUACACACGUAGAGAUGAGAUCGCGUGUGUUCAUGCAAGUUAGUAGUGAGUUAGUUAUUUAGAGAAUGGAUGCAUGUGCGGGCUUCCAUCAUUGUAGUAGCAUGCACGUACG